rnacentral:rRNA from 1 species
GACGAACCGUGCGAACGUUGUUCGGAAUCACUGGGCUUAAAGGGCGCGUAGGCGGGCCCCCUUGUCCGGGGUGAAAGCUUUCGGCUUAACCGGAAAAGGGCCUCGGAAACGGGGGGCCUGGAGGGAGGUAGGGGCGGCCGGAACUUCCGGUGGAGCGGUGAAAUGCGUUGAUAUCGGAAGGAACGCCGGUGGCGAAAGCGGGCCGCUGGACCUCUGCUGACGCUGAGGCGCGAAAGCCAGGGGAG